rnacentral:rRNA from 1 species
UGGAGAAUCCCGUGAACCAUCGAGUCUCUGAACGCAAGUUGCGCCUGAAGCCAUUAAGUCGAUUGCGCACCUGCCUGGACGUCACACGCCAUUGCCCCCCUGGCACCUCUCUUGGAAGCGUCGGUGGGUAGACGAUGGCUUUCAGUGCAUCACCACGUGUGGUUGGCACAAAUGUUUAGUCCUUGGCAAUGAACGCCACGACAAUCAUUGGUUUGUUAAACCUCGGUUGCCUGUUGUGCACUUUCACUGAGCUCUGGGCGGCUCAUGAUGCUCACUGCUAUACUUUGGCGGAGCCAGGUCAGGCAGGGUUACUCGUUAAA